AGCCGCCCUCCCCAGAGGCAUCGAUGUCAUUGACUCACUGGGUGCGGGGCGACCAGGCAAUAGGAACAGGAACCUUAUAGAAUCUUCUUUUCACGAUGUUGCACCUUGAUGUGAGCUAUUUUUUCAGCAUGUUGGACACUUGGAAGGUUGUACGACCCCCUAAUCCAGAGAGGGUCCUGAUGCACACCCAAUGGAAGGAACGCGUUCUCAGAGAGGCUGAGAAGAAUCUGGACAGACAACCCUGCCGGGCUUCCCCACUCAGUCUGUCGGCACUAGGUCACCCUCUUUCCUCGAUCGUAUUUCUACAGAGCUGUCCAUCCUCGCCUUCUGCACGUUAAAUUUUCUGCAAAACUCCAGAGAUCGGAUGGCUUUGGCCCCCACAUUUAAACUUAAUCCUCUAAUGCUUCUAUUGAAAUUUUCAACUUCUCCUACUAUAUUUUUAAUUUCUAAGAGCUCUUCUUUAUUAUUUUAUAUAGCAUUUCUUUCUUAUUUCUUUUUUUUUUUUUUUUUUUCUUUUUUGAUAUGGAGUCUCGCUCUGUCGCCCAAGCUGGAGUGCAAUGGUGCAAUCUUGGCUCACUGCAACCUCCGUCUUCCAGGUUCAGGCAAUUCUCCUGCCUCAGUCUCCCAAGUAGCUGGGAUUACAGGCACCUGCCAUCACGCCUGGCUAAUUUUUUGUGUCUUUAGUAGAGAUGGGGUUUCACCAUGUUGGUCAGGCUGGUCUCGAACUCCUGACCUCAUGAUCUGCCAGCCUCAGCCUCCCAAAGUGUGGGGAUUACAGGUGUAAGCCACUUUGCCUGGCCCCAUUUCUUAUUUCAUGCAGUUAUCAUCGCUUAUCUCUCUAAGGGUAUUAAUAAUUGUUCUUUGGAAAUUUUCUUCUUCCUACAUUGCACUUAACACUGCUCAGUUGCUUAUGGUCUUGUUUGUUUUGGUGACUUUCGUGUUGGUGACUUUCCCUCAUUGUUAGCUCCUGUGUGAGAGUUGGGGACUGAAUGUUAAUUGGAAGCUCCUAGUGGGUAAGUGGGACCUGUCUGACCAGGAGAUCCCUGUAGGGUGAAUGGCUCUGUAGUUGGGGAACCUCUGAUGUCUGUAUCUUUAAGUCUUUCCUCUUGAGCUAACCAGAUUCCCCAGAAAAAAACUCUUCCAGUCUUUGGCUUAGAAGGUAAAGGCCAGACUGCCAGCAUUCUCAGGAAAGGGAUAUGGAGGCCUCACGCUCUUAUAUGCAUAAGUUCAUUUUGAAGGCACCAAAAACCCAAAAGCAGAUACAGAAAGAGAUAUGAUCUGUAUGUUCCUUAUCUGACCAAAACACGGCUUUAUGUGAGUCACCGGCCACAACUCUGCCCUCCUCCCACCCUCCAGGGAGGUCAACUGACCUUGGACACUAUGACAUUCCAAGAAAGUGAUGUAAAGAAACUUCAUCAGAACCUCCCAUCUUUGAAGCCCUAAGCCCUUAUUUUGUUAACCUUGUAUAAACUUUUCACUCUGGCUGUCCAGCAAGGCACUCACUACUAACUGCUCCUGCACAUCUGUCUUUUCUCCUGUUAGUCUGUCUGAUGUCCAUUCAUUUGCAGGGCCCCAACUACACAGACCGAAGCUGGUAGAGCGGAAGUUUUUUUUUUCCAACAGUUUCAUCUCUCUCCCUUUUUUAAACAUGGUAUCUCCAUCCUCAGCCUGGUAUCCCCCAAUCCAGAGAUUUUGUUUUACCAUUUCCAAGAACAAAUCUCAGUUUUCUGCCAGCAUGGAGAAAGAGCAAUUAUCCACUGCUAUAGUUUACUUUUUUUCUUCUUUUUUGAGACAGAGUCUUGCUCUACCCAGGCUGGAGUGCAGUAGUGUGAUCACAGUUCACUGUAACCGCCAUCUCCUGGGCUCAAGGGAUCCUCCCAUCUCAGCCUUCCAGGUAGCUAGGACUACAAGUGUACAUCACCAUGCCCAGAUAAUUUUUAAAUUUUUUGUAGAGAAGGGUCACACUGCCAGGUGCAGUGGCUCAUGCCUGUAAUGCCAGCACUUUGGGAGGCCCAGACAGGUGGAGCAUGAGGUCAGAAGUUCAAGACCGGCCUUGCCAAGAUGGCAAAAUGCUUUCUCUACUAAAAAUACAAAAAUUAGCCAGGUGUGGUGGUGGAUGCCUGUAACCCCAGCUACUCAGGAGGCUGAGGCAGGAGAAUUGCUUGAACUCGGGAGGUGGAGGUUGCAGUGAGCUGAGGUCAUGCCACUGCACUCCAGCCUGGGCAACAGAGUGAGACUCCAUCAAAAAAAAAAAAAAAAAAAAAUAGAAAAGGGUUACACUAUGUUGCCCGGGUUAGUCUCAAACUCUUGGCCUCAAGUAAUUUUCCUGUCUCUUAUAAAACCUGACACAUAAAACCAUCAGAUCUCAUGAGAAUUCACUCACUGUCAUGAGAAUCACCAGCAUGGGGGAACCACCUCUAUGCUGAGAUUUAGCCUCCCAAAGUGCUGAGAUUACAGGCAUGAGCCACUGCACCCAGCCACUGCUACAGUGUAAAUGUGUUCCCCAAGUUUCAUGUGUUGGAAACAGUCUUCACAUUUAUAUGCUGAUUGGAGGCAGGGCCUUUGGGAGAUUAUUAGGGUUAAGCAAGGUCAUCAGGGUGGGAAUCCUUCUUCUUAUAAAGCCACCAGUCCCCUCAGAGAAGAGAAACCUGAGCUGACAUGCAUGCUCCUGCCCUCUUGCCAUGUAAUGCCCUCCACUAUAUUAUGACAUAGCAAGAAGGCCCUCACAGAAACUGAGCAGAUGACAGCACCAUGUUUUUGGACUUUCCGGUCUCCAGGGUUGUAAGAAAUACAUUUCUUUUCUUUAUAAAUUACCCAGUCUCUGGGUUUGUUUGUUUGUUUUUGAGACAGAGUCUCGGGCUGGAGUGCAGUGGUAUAAUCUUGGCUCACUGCCACCUCUGCUUCCUGUGUUCAAGUGAUUCUUCUGCCUCAGCCUCCCAAAUAGCUGAGAUUAUAGGCACCUGCCACCACACUUGGCUAAUUUUUGUAAUUUUAGUAGAGACGGAGUUUCGCCAUGUUGGCCAGGCUGGUCUCAAACUCCUGACUUCAAGUGAUCCACCUGCCUCAGACUCCCAAAAUGCUAGGAUUACAGGCGUGCAUCACCACACCUGGCCUGGUAUUCUUUUAUAGCAAAAGAAAACAAACUAAGACAUACACCUACACAGAUUUGGGGAAGUGACCUAAUAAUCAAACGUCUUGAUUUUUAGCCAGGUCUCCUUAUUUUAUUUAAUUUAUUUUCAUUUAUUUGAGAUGGAAUCUUGCUCUGUCAUCCAGGCUGGAGUGCAGUGGUGUAAUGUCCAUCCACUAUAACCUCUGCCUCCUGGGUUCAAGCAAUUCUCCUGCCUCAGCCUCCCCAGUAACUGAGAUUACAGGCGCCCAACACCAUGCCUGACUAGUGUUUGUAUUUUUAGUAGAGACAGGGUUUCACCAUGUUGGCCAGGCUGGUCUCAAACUCCUGACCUCAAGUGAUCCACCCGCCUUGGCAUCCUAAAGUGCUAGGAUUACAGGCGUGAGCCACCACACCCAGCCCAAGGUCUCAUUAUUUUAGCUCCCUUCCUCACUCUACUUCCAGCAACAUUAGUGUCACCAGUGUCUGAGACUGUGGUGGGGGUUGGGGAGAAGGGGUGGGUAUUGGCUUUUUAGCCUUCCCCUUUUACAGUUUAGGCUUCAGCUUUUCCCAGCCUGCUCAGUUUACUCACUCAUUGCUUUACAGUUUCCAAACUUGUGCUGUUGUUGUCUUCUCUCCCAUUAUUUCUGGCACAGGGCAAACCCCAAAUUGGGGCUCAGCCCAGGAGGCCACGUGGGUUCUUGGCUUUGUGCAGGAAGAAAUUCAAGCACAGGAAGGAAUUCAAGAGCAAGCAGAAUAAAGUGAAAGGAAGUUUAUUAAGAAAGUAAAGGAAAAGGCGGAGUACAGUGGCUCAUACUUGUAAUCCCAGCACUUUUGGGAGGCUAAGGUGGGUGGAUACCUGAGGUCAGGAAUUCCAGACCAGCCUGGCUAAGAUAGAGAAACCCCAUCUCUACUAAAAAUACAAAAACUAGCUGGGCGUGGUGGCACGCACCUGUAAUCCCAGCUACUCGGGAAGCUGAGGCAGGAGAAUCGCUUGAACCCAGGAGACAGAGGCUGCAGUGAGCCAAGACUGUGCCACUGAACUCCAACCUGGGUGACAGAGGGAGACUCCAUCUCAAAAAAAAGAAAGUAAAGGACUAAAACAUGGUUAUGACAUAGGUAUAGCAGCCUUUGUGGGCUGUUGGCUGGCUAUAUUUAUGGUUAUUUCUUGAUUAUAUGCUAAAUAUGGAGUUGAUUAUUCAUGAGUUUUCCAGGAAAGGGGCAGAGAUUUCCCAGAGUUGAGGGUUCCUCCUCCUUUCAGACCAUAUAAGGUAACUUCUGGACAUUGAGAUGGCAUUUGUAAACUGUCAUGGCACUGGUGAGAGUGCCUUUAGCAUGCUAAUGCAUUAUAAUUAGCAUAUAAUGAGCAGUGAGGACAAUCAGAGGUUGAUUUUGUUGCCCUCUUGGUUUUGGCAGGUUUUGACUUCUUUACCGCAUCCCAUUUUAUCAGCAGUGUCCUUGUGACAUGUAUCUUGUAAAACAAGUCCUGCCAAAUUUCUAUCUCAUCUCUAUCUUUGUGGGUUUCUGAUUUUUAAAAAAUUCCUUCAUUGUCACGUUAGGGUCUUCAAAAAGAGCAAAAUGAAUUGUGUGCAUUCAAUUCACCAUCUUUACCUAGACGUCUCUGUAAGCUCUUUUUCACUGACUGACUGCACCAUGGACAGCAUGGUAACCUCCGUGACCGGCACAUACACCUCUGGAGGAGUUCCUGGAAAUAGAGAGUCUGAAGUAACUGGAAAACCACAAAAGGGUAGAAUGACCAACACCUGCAGUGCAUAAUUAACUUGAGACAUUCUUCUAUUGUUCCUUAUUCCUGCCUCAACUGACAAGGCAAUUGGACUUUGUAACUCACCUUGGUCAACCUCAUGACUCCAGACCCUGCGACCCUCUCGCAGCUUGCAAAAACUGCCCUAAACUGUAACUUCUGUAACUCUCCACUGCCUACCCCAAACCUAUAAAACCAACUCCUACCCCAUCGCCUUUUGCUGACUCUCUUUUCGGACUCAGCCCUCCCACACGCAGGUGAAUCAACAGCCAUGUUGCUCACACAAAGCCUAUUUGGGGGGGUCUCUUCAUUCAGAGUGCAUGUUUUAAAAGUCUCCAUCUGCAUUCCACCUUUGAACUGAUGGGCUUAUGCCUUUUAAUAAAAUCCUUUUACUGUAAUUUCCAUGGGUUUGGGGGAGUAUAAACUAAUGGAUGGGUUCAACUUGCCAUCUUUAACUGGAAAUAAUUUGUUAUUAAACUGCUCUAGACAUAAAUGUCUAUCUCCCCACUUGUAGCCAGCCCUUACUGUGGUGAGUUUAAGAAGAGUUUUCUGUUUUUGUUUUUGUUUUUUGCCUCAAAAGCCAGCACAAUGGCUGGAUACUAAAGACUUAUAACUGGACCUAUGUUUUCAUAUAUUUAAACUAACUUCCCUUCUCAUUGACAAAUGGAUAUUCAACAAAUAUUUAGUAAGGAUCUACUCUUUGCCAGGUAAUAUCCAGGCCCCAGGCACACAGCAGGGGUCAAAUCUGACUGAGCUCUGCUCACAUGGAACUUGCAUUUGGCUCUGUUAAAAUAUCUUCUAGGAGCUUAUUACUUCUCAAGGCAACCCCAUCCCAUCAGCUCCUGCUGAAAACUGGUUUUCCAUUACUUUCACCCAUUGGUCCAAAUUCCUCCUGGCAGAGGUUCCCUCUUCUGUAAGAUAGACCUCCAGUUAAGUAAAAAUGAUCUGUGAUUCUGUUUUCCUCAUACUUUCCUUCAACCACUCAUACAGUUCCAGCGCCUCCUCCCACAAUGAAUUCACGAAGCACUCAGGACCCUCCCCCAUUCUCUCCCUUCGUCUCUGUGAGUAAGAAAGUGGAAUAAAGUAAAAAAUAAUAUAUUAGUCUUUGUCCCAGGUUCCUGGCACAGAGUUUCAAAAACGCUCAGAAGCUCCUGAAUGAUGGGAAUGUCUUUUGUUAUUCAUAAUGAGCCCUUUUCAGCCACACCUGCGUUUAUGCUAAUGAGAUGACUCACAGCGGAUCCCCUAGACAGGUUCAGAACAGGCUGGUUCUCAGGAAAGCCAACCAAGGGAUUAAAGAGUUGGAACUUUCAGUCCUUCCUCUCUCCCUUCCACCUCCAGGAAAAGAUGGAGAUGGAUUCCGGUCACAUGGCCAAUGAUUAAAUCAAUCAUGCCUACAUAAUGAAACCUCAAUAGAAACUCUGAACAACGAGGCUUGGAAAACUUCCUGGUUGAUAAACAUAUUAAUAUUGGAAUGCUAGAAGGGAGGCACACCCUGAUUCCACCGGGACAGAAGCUUUCGUGCUUGGGGCUGUUCCAGACCUAGCUGCAUGCGCAUCUUCAUCUGGCUGUUCAUUGAUAUCAUUUACAAUA